AUUGAACGCUGGCGGCAUGCCUUACACAUGCAAGUCGAACGGUAACAGGUCUUCGGAUGCUGACGAGUGGCGAACGGGUGAGUAAUACAUCGGAACGUGCCCGAGAGUGGGGGAUAACGAGGCGAAAGCUUUGCUAAUACCGCAUACGAUCUUAGGAUGAAAGCAGGGGACCGCAAGGCCCUGCGCGCACGGAGCGGCAGAUGGCAGAUUAGGUAGUUGGUGGGAUAAAAGCUUACCAAGCCGACGAUCUGUAGCUGGUCUGAGAGGACGACCAGCCACACUGGGACUGAGACACGGCCCAGACUCCUACGGGAGGCAGCAGUGGGGAAUUUUGGACAAUGGGCGCAAGCCUGAUCCAGCCAUGCCGCGUGCAGGAUGAAGGCCUUCGGGUUGUAAACUGCUUUUGUACGGAACGAAAAGACUCUGGUUAAUACCUGGGGUCCAUGACGGUACCGUAAGAAUAAGCACCGGCUAACUACGUGCCAGCCGCCGCGGUAACAC
rnacentral:rRNA from 1 species